rnacentral:rRNA from 1 species
CACGUAGGGACCAAGCGUUGUCCGGAUUCAUUGGGCGUAAAGAGCUCGUAGGCGGUUCGAUAAGUCGGGUGUGAAACCUCCAGGCUCAACCUGGAGACGCCACCCGAUACUGUCGUGACUAGAGUCCAGUAGGGGAGCGUGGAAUUCCUGGUGUAGCGGUGAAAUGCGCAGAUAUCAGGAGGAACACCGGUGGCGAAGGCGGGUCUCUGGGCCGAAACUGACGCUGAGGAGCGAAAGCGUGGGGAGCAAACAGG